CACAUCUACACACACACACACACACACACACAUCUAGACACACACACACACACACACACAUCUAGACACACACACACACACACACACAUCUAGACACACACACACACACACACACACAUCUAGACACACACACACACACACACACACAUCUAGACACACACACACACACACACACAUCUAGACACACACACACACACACACACACAUCUAGACACACACACACACACACACACACACAUCUAGACACACACACACACACACACAUCUAGACACACACACACACACACACACACACACAUCUACACACACACACACACACACACACACACACACAUCUAGACACACACACACACACACACAUCUAGACACACACACACACACACACACACAUCUAGACACACACACACAUCUAGACACACACACACAUCUAGAUACACACACACACACACACCUAGACACACACACACAUCUAGACACACACACAGAUCUAGACACACACAUCUAGACACACACACACACAUCUAGACACACACACACAUCUAGACACACAUCUAGACACACACACACAUCUGUCAUCAAAUCAAAUCAAAUGUAUUUAUAUAGCCCUUCUUACAUCAGCUGAUAUCUCAAAGUGCUGUACAGAAACCCAGCCUAAAACCCCAAACAGCAAGCAAUGCAGGUGUAGAAGCACGGUGGCUAGGAAAAUCUCCCUAGAAAGGCCAAAACCUAGGAAGAAACCUAGAGAGGAACCAGGCUAUGUGGGGUGGCCAGUCCUCUUCUGGCUGUGCCGGGUGGAGAUUAUAACAGAACAUGGCCAAGAUGUUCAAAUGUUCAUAAAUAACCAGCAGGGUCAAAUAAUAAUACUCAGUCAUACACCUAGACACACACACACCUAGACACACACAUCUGUCAUACACCUAGACACACACACCAAGACAGCGUUUAGAGGGUUGGGUCAGUAACUGAAAGGUCUCUAGUUUAAAUCCCCAAGCCGACAAGUUGGUGGGGGGGUCUGUCGACGGCACUUAACCCCAAUUGCUUUCAGUAGCCGUGACCCCACUCUCCGAGGGCGUCUCAGGGAGAGUUGGGAUAUGCAAAAAAACACAUUUCCAAUUCACACACGUGAAACACUGGUACGUGUGACAGGACUGAUAUAAAGAGACACCAAAUUAGGAUUAUUAGCUGAAGACACUCUGCACAUAUACAUACCGUUGGUGUCUGAUGAAAACCUUGUAACUCCAUUUUAUCCCAAAACAUUUGUAUUGAAUGCACUAACUCCCCUCCAAUAUAGACUGAAUAUUUCCUGACUCUACGACUAAGAACAUAUGUUUAUAAUAGCUCCUGAAGUUUGGUAAUUAUAUGUUUGUUAAAAAUAAAAACUUUUUUUUCUUUUUUCCCCCCCAUUUCUUGAAGUGUCUGUUUUGGAGAUGGGCCUACGGGGUUCUCAUCAGAAAGCUAUGAUACACACGUGUGUGUGUGUACACAUCUGAGAGUCACAAACACCCACAGCUGGAGUGUAACACACUUAACCAAACACACUUCUCACACACCUGACCAAACACACACACACACGCAGGCCCAGCUCAUACAUUGUCACACAGCCAUACAUAUACAGGUAUCAUACACAGUGGAUACAGCACACUAGGUUGGGAGUCAUAGGGGAAACCAAUAUCUCUUACUGCAUGUGUUUAUGGAUGUGGGUACGUAAACCCGCAAGGCACUGUGGCCCCUCAUGAUGAGUUGUGUUUUUAUUUUGGCCCCCCACCCCGUUAAGUUAAGUUGCCCGUCCUUGGUAUGGACUGACAGGAGACUGUGCUAGAACCUACUGUAGCUGUGCCAUAGUCUAAUAGUGGCAAACCACGUUUAUUUUGGCCCCCCACCCCGUUAAAGUUGCCCGUCCUUGGUAUGGACUGACAGGAGACUGUGCUAGAACCUACUGUAGCUGUGCCAUAGUCUAAUAGUGGCAAACCAUGUCGCUCAUGUCAUGCUGUUUGACAUCCACACACACACUUAGUCACUUUUUUUUUUUAAGCACUUUACAUUUGUCAAUCCUUUACUUGAUUUAGUCUUUAUGCAGUAUGUCACGAACCUGAAACGUCAGGAUGCUUAUAAGCUGGUUCUAAUAAGUUGUGUUCACCACUGAUUUCAGACCGUGACGGACACAUUUAACAGGGAGUUUGGAACAUCGCAGAAAACUUCUCUUGGGUUUUAAUCAGUCACGUCCCUGUCAGUCUCUGGUCUGGACGGCCAUUUUGAUCCAAUGACAACAGCACUUUGCCGUGAUCAUGUGACUUCACAGGGAUUCUGGCACUUACUGUACAAACAGACGUAAACACACACUUCCAUGAAAAAGUGGAUCUCACAUGAUCCAUAUUCACCAUUUCUUUCUCUUACCUUUUUCUCGCUCACCUUCACCUUUUUAUCUCCAUCCCUCAAAUACACCCCCCCCCCUCCUGACCCUCUCACCUAUGGGGCAUGGUGUGUGUGAACAGAGUGAUACGAGAGGGUGGCGUUAUAGAACUGGUACAGGAAGUUAAGGUCAAGUCAUAGAGGGAUUUUAAGGGAAGAUGGGUGGAAGUGAGGAUCUGAGGGUUACUGAAUAAGAACUGUGAGGUUUACAGAAUGUUCAAAGGAGAGUUCUAGAACGGUGGAGGUUGUCUGGGGGUAAACAUACUAUACACUGCAGUAUGCCAUACAGACUUUAGUACAGAACAGGUGUAGUACACUACAGUAUGCCAUACAGACUUUAGUACAGAACAGGUGUAGUACACUACAGUAUGCCAUACAGACUUUAGUACAGAACAGGUGUAGUACACUACAGUAUGCCAUACAGACUUUAGUACAGAACAGGUGUAGUACACUACAGUAUGCCAUACAGACUUUAGUACAGAACAGGUGUAGUACACUACAGUAUGCCAUACAGACUUUAGUACAGAACAGAACAGGUGUAGUACACUACAGUAUGCCAUACAGACUUUAGUACAGAACAGGUGUAGUACACUACAGUAUGCCAUACAGACUUUAGUACAGAACAGGUGUAGUACACUACAGUAUGCCAUACAGACUUUAGUACAGAACAGUACAGGUGUAGUACACUAUAGACUUUAGUACAGAACAGUACAGGUGUAGUACACUACAGUAUGCCAUACAGACUUUAGUACAGAACAGUACAGGUGUAGUACACUACAGUAUGUCAUACAGACUUUAGUACAGAACAGUACAGGUGUAGUACACAAAGUAUGCCAUACAGACUUUAGUACAGAACAGUACAGGUGUAGUACACUACAGUAUGACAUACAGACUUUAGUACAGAACAGGUGUAGUACACUACAGUAUGCCAUACAGACUUUAGUACAGAACAGUACAGGUGUAGUACACUACAGUAUGUCAUACAGACUUUAGUACAGAACAGUACAGGUGUAGUACACAAAGUAUGCCAUACAGACUUUAGUACAGAACAGUACAGGUGUAGUACACUACAGUAUGACAUACAGACUUUAGUAGAGAACAGGUGUAGUACACUACAGUAUGCCAUACAGACUUUAGUACAGAACAGUACAGGUGUAGUACACUACAGUAUGCCAUACAGACUUUAGUACAGAACAGUACAGGUGUAGUACACUACAGUAUGACAUACAGACUUUAGUACAGAACAGUACAGGUGUAGUACACUAUAGACUCUAGUACAGAACAGUACAGGUGUAGUACACUACAGUAUGACAUACAGACUUUAGUACAGAACAGUACAGGUGUAGUACACUACAGUAUGCCAAUCAGACUAUAGUACAGAACAGUACAGGUGUUGGUUUAUGACUGCUGAAUGUCCUUUUGGGUGGGUGGUGAUGCUGCUGUUGCUCCUGCACCGCCCCCUGUCGUUACCCCCCGACCCCCUCCUCAAAUAGACAGACAGACCCCUCUCUCUCUCUAUAUAUAUAUAUAUAUAUAAAGGUGGGGGGAGGUGUGGUAAAAGAAGAUAUAUAUAUAUAAAUAGUUAACAGCAAUUUCAUGUGGGAUGUAUAGGAAAUAAUGUGUUAAUAUUGUACAUUUUUAGAAUUGAAAAAAAAUCGACAUUUAAAAAUAAAUCCAAGUUGAGACCAAUUAACUGCUUGUAUUGUGAAGACACAAAUCUCUGUGAUAACUGACAUGGUCUUUAACAAUGCUUUGAAAUAAGGAAAUGAAUGAAAAAAACAUGAUCAACAACACCUUGUACAUACACACACACACACACAACGUGUGGUCCUGGAGUAGUGUUAUUAGAUUCUGUUGGGGUUCUAUCGAGUUCCGUUGGAUCCCAUUAAAUUCCGUUGGAUUCUAUUGUCUCUACUUGUUCAGACUCGCUACUGACCUGUGUACUAUUCUCCAGCUUCUCUUGUCCAAUCAUUCUUUCUGCAAAGAACCUUCAGGUCUCUCCCCAAACUGAGGAGGAUGUGCUGUACUCCUCUUCCUUUUAAUGGUUUUAAUUUGCUGUUCGGGUUUUUAUUUCUCUUAUCGAGAGAAAUGGUUGUUUUUUUAUCUACAUCGAUUGAUGUAAUUCAGUUGGUCAGAUUAUGAUGACAUCUAGAUUAUACUCUGAAUGGUCAGAUUAAAAUAAGAGAUCCACUCUGGUUCAUCCUUGGAGAGACGGGAUCUCUACGGUCUGAUCAGUAGAGUUACUGGAACCAUUCCCACGCCAUGCAAUCUGUAUUAAACUGGAUAGGUUGUGCAAAAAAAGAUGAAUGUCUUACAUAAAAGAAUAUAUACAAUUAUAGAAAAAGUGAUUUUAAAAAAUGUUUAAAAGAAAUUGAGAAAGAAUGUUUUAGGAGACAAAUGUAAUAUUUUGUUUGUAAUGACUUAUUUUGUUUGGCAGAGGGCUACUGAACAAAGAUUCCACUGUAAUAAAGUCCUUUUAGUUC